UGGGGAAUCUUCCGCAAUGGGCGAAAGCCUGACGGAGCAACGCCGCGUGAGUGAAGACGGCCUUCGGGUUGUAAAACUCUGUGAUUCGGGACGAAAGAUAAGCAGACGAAUAAUCUGCAUAAGUGACGGUACCGAAAAAGCAAGCCACGGCUAACUACGUGCCAGCAGCCGCGGUAAUACGUAGGUGGCAAGCGUUGUCCGGAAUUAUUGGGCGUAAAGCGCGCGCAGGCGGCUACUUAAGUCCAUCUUAAAAGUGCGGGGCUUAACCCCGUGAUGGGAUGGAAACUGAGAAGCUGGAGUGUCGGAGAGGAAAGUGGAAUUCCUAGUGUAGCGGUGAAAUGCGUAGAGAUUAGGAAGAACACCGGUGGCGAAGGCGACUUUCUGGACGACAACUGACGCUUAGGCGCGAAAGCGUGGGGAGCAAACAGG
rnacentral:rRNA from 3 species